AUUGAACGCUGGCGGCAGGCCUAACACAUGCAAGUCGAACGGCAGCACAGAAGAGCUUGCUCUUUGGGUGGCGAGUGGCGGACGGGUGAGUAAUGUCUGGGAAACUGCCCGAUGGAGGGGGAUAACUACUGGAAACGGUAGCUAAUACCGCAUAACGUCGCAAGACCAAAGUGGGGGACCUUCGGGCCUCACACCAUCGGAUGUGCCCAGAUGGGAUUAGCUAGUAGGUGGGGUAAUGGCUCACCUAGGCGACGAUCCCUAGCUGGUCUGAGAGGAUGACCAGCCACACUGGAACUGAGACACGGUCCAGACUCCUACGGGAGGCAGCAGUGGGGAAUAUUGCACAAGGGGCGCAAGCCUGAUGCAGCCAUGCCGCGUGUAUGAAGAAGGCCUUCGGGUUGUAAAGUACUUUCAGCGGGGAGGAAGGCGGUGGGGUUAAUAACCUCGCCGAUUGACGUUACCCGCAGAAGAAGCACCGGCUAACUCCGUGCCAGCAGCCGCCGUAACAC
rnacentral:rRNA from 1 species